GGUCUGAUAGCACAACUGGUUAGUGCACCUGCAUCAAGUCGUACUUUUCUUGGUGAUUUACGCAGAAGAUCCCUGUUCGAUCCGGGGUCGGGCCA